UACGUAGGGGGCUAGCGUUGUCCGGAAUCAUUGGGCGUAAAGCGCGUGUAGGCGGUUCGGUAAGUCCGCUGUGAAAGUCGGGGGCUCAACCCUCGAAUGCCGGUGGAUACUGUCGGACUAGAGUACGGAAGAGGCGAGUGGAAUUCCUGGUGUAGCGGUGAAAUUCGUAGAUAUUGGGAAGAACACCGGUGGCGAAGGCGGCGACCUGGUCCUUUUACUGACGCUGAGGCGCGAAAGCGUGGGGAGCAAACAGG
rnacentral:rRNA from 1 species